rnacentral:rRNA from 1 species
AUUGAACGCUGGCGGCAUGCCUUACACAUGCAAGUCGAACGGUAACGGGCCUUCGGGUGCCGACGAGUGGCGCACGGGUGUGUAAUACAUCGGAACGUGCCCGAUCGUGGGGGAUAACGAGGCGAAAGCUUUGCUAAUACCGCAUACGAUCUACGGAUGAAAGCAUGGGACCGCAAGGCCUUGCGCGGACGGAGCGGCCGAUGGCAGAUUAGGUAGUUGGUGGGAUAAAAGCUUACCAAGCCGACGAUCUGUAGCUGGUCUGAGAGGAUGAUCAGCCACACUGGGACUGAGACACGGCCCAGACUCCUACGGGAGGCAGCAGUGGGGAAUUUUGGACAAUGGGAGCAAGCCUGAUCCAGCCAUGCCGCGUGCAGGAUGAAGGCCUUCGGGUUGUAAACUGCUUUUGUACGGAACGAAAAGCCUUCUUUUAAUACAGGAGGGUCAUGAAGGUACCGUAAGAAUAAGCACCGGCUAACUACGUG